GAUGAACGCUGGCGGCGUGCCUCAAACAUGCAAGUCGAGCGGGGCUAUGUAAUAUCGCAAGGUAGAACAUAGCCUAGCGGCGAACGGGUGAGUAACACGUGGGUAACCUGCCUGGAAGACAGGGAUAACGAUUCGAAAGGGUCGCUAAUACCUGAUAAUAUCCUUUCAUCGCAUGGUGAUAGGAAGAAAGGGGAAACCCGCUUUCAGAUGGGCCCGCGUCCCAUCAGCUAGUUGGUAAGGUAAAGGCUUACCAAGGCGACGACGGGUAGCCGGUCUGAGAGGAUGUACGGCCACACUGGGACUGAGAUACGGCCCAGACUCCUACGGGAGGCAGCAGUUGGGAAUCUUAGGCAAUGGACGAAAGUCUGACCUAGCGACGCCGCGUGAGGGAAGAAGGCCUUCGGUUGUAACCGUACUGUCAUGGGGAAGAAGUAAGUGACGGUACCCAACGAGGAAGCCCUGCUAACUACGUGCCAGCAGCCGCGGUAAAGUCACGUCG
rnacentral:rRNA from 1 species